rnacentral:rRNA from 1 species
AUUGAACGCUGGCGGCAGGCUUAACACAUGCAAGUCGAACGAGUGGCGGACGGGUGAGUAAUGCUUGGGAAUCUGGCUUAUGGAGGGGGAUAACGACGGGAAACUGUCGCUAAUACCGCGUACCAUAGGAUGAGCCCAAGUGGGAUUAGGUAGUUGGUGGGGUAAUGGCCUACCAAGCCGACGAUCUCUAGCUGGUCUGAGAGGAUGACCAGCCACACCGGGACUGAGACACGGCCCGGACUCCUACGGGAGGCAGCAGUGGGGAAUAUUGCGCAAUGGGGGCAACCUGACGCAGCCAUGCCGCGUGAAUGAAGAAGGCCUUCGGGUUGUAAAGUUCUUUCGGUAGCGAGGCGUUAACUACAGAAGAAGCACCGGCUAACUCCGUGCCAGCAGCCGCGGUAAUUC